rnacentral:rRNA from 1 species
CUGAUUAGCUUGUUGGCGGGGUAACGGCCCACCAAGGCGACGAUCAGUAGGGGUUCUGAGAGGAAGGUCCCCCACAUUGGAACUAAGACACGGUCCAAACUCCUACGGGAGGCAGCAGUAAGGAAUAUUGGUCAAUGGGCGAGAGCCUGAACCAGCCAAGUAGCGUGCAGGAUGACGGCCCUAUGGGUUGUAAACUGCUUUUAUAGGGGAAUAAAGUGAGCCACGUGUGGUUUUUUGCAUGUACCCUAUGAAUAAGGACCGGCUAAUUCCGUGCCAGCAGCCGCGGUAAUACGGAAGGUCCGGGCGUUAUCCGGAUUUAUUGGGUUUAAAGGGAGCGUAGGCCGGAGAUUAAGCGUGUUGUGAAAUGUAGAUGCUCAACAUCUGCACUGCAGCGCGAACUGGUUUCCUUGAGUACGCAUAAAGUGGGCGGAAUUCGUGGUGUAGCGGUGAAAUGCUUAGAUAUCACGAAGAACUCCGAUUGCGAAGGCAGCUCACUGGGGCGCAACUGACGCUGAAGCUCGAAAGCGCGGGUAUCGAACAGGAUUAGAUACCCUGGUAGUCCGCGCGGUAAACGAUGGAUGCCCGCUGUUGGGCCAACUGGUUCAGCGGCCAAGCGAAAGCAUUAAGCAUCCCACCUGGGGAGUACGCCGGCAACGGUGAAACUCAAAGGAAUUGACGGGGGCCCGCACAAGCGGAGGAACAUGUGGUUUAAUUCGAUGAUACGCGAGGAACCUUACCCGGGCUUGAAUUGCAGAGGAAGGAUUUGGAGACAAUGACGCCCUUCGGGGCCUCUGUGAAGGUGCUGCAUGGUUGUCGUCAGCUCGUGCCGUGAGGUGUCGGCUUAAGUGCCAUAACGAGCGCAACCCCUCUCCAUAGUUGCCAUCAGGUGAAGCUGGGCACUCUGUGGACACUGCCACCGUAAGGUUCGAGGAAGGUGGGGAUAACGUCAAAUCAGCACGGCCCUUACGUCCGGGGCUACACACGUGUUACAAUGGCAGGUACAGAGAGCCGGUCGUAUGCAAAUACGAUCCAAUCCUUAAAGCCUGUCUCAGUUCGGACUGGGGUCUGCAACCCGACCCCACGAAGCUGGAUUCGCUAGUAAUCGCGCAUCAGCCAUGGCGCGGUGAAUACGUUCCCGGGCCUUGUACACACCGCCCGUCAAGCCAUGAAAGCCGGGGGCGCCUGAAGUCCGUGACCGCAAGGAGCGGCCUAGGGCGAAACUGGUAAUUGGGGCUAAGUCGUAACAAGGUA